UCAUUAUCUGAGUUUUCAUUAAAAUAAUUGACUUUUACAGGCACAAAUGCAGGAUUUUCCAUUAGUAAGAGAGGCACUUUUAGCAAGGGAGGGGUCUCGAGACAACUUAUAUCCCAAGAAGGUCAAGGACAGUGUUAGGUGGGGGUCUCUACAGCAAUGUUAUUUCACAGAGUUCUGGAGCUGCACCUCGAUCGCACCAUACCUCUAUCUUGAAACACAGUUGUGGUACAUAGAUUUAGACAAUCGGUCAUCUACAAGAUGCCUCAGCACAAGUCAGAUAUAUUUUACUGUUAAGAAAACCCUUAGUUCAAGUGACGUAUCCCACUCACAUCAGAUACAGAGGUAUUUAUGACAGUUAAAGAAGCUUUUAAAUCAGUGUGGAUGUGGAUAUUAAAACUACUUGAAGGAUGAGGAAAGGAGCCCUUUAAAAGAUCACGCAUUUAUGAAAGAAGACAGCAUCAGCACUGCCUUAAGAUUCCAGUUGAGACC